CCAGACUCCUACGGGAGGCAGCAGUGAGGAAUAUUGGUCAAUGGCCGGAAGGCUGAACCAGCCAUGCCGCGUGAAGGUCAGUGCCCUAUGGGCGUUAAACUUCUUUUGUGCGGGAGCAAUAAUGGUCACGUGUGGCCAGACGAGAGUACCGUACGAAUAAGCAUCGGCUAACUCCGUGCCAGCAGCCGCGGUAAUACGGGGGAUGCAAGCGUUAUCCGGAUUUAUUGGGUUUAAAGGGUGCGUAGGCGGAACAUUAAGUCAGCGGUAAAAUCGAGGGGCUCAACCCCUUUAAGCCGUUGAAACUGGUGAUCUUGAGUGGGCGAGAAGUAUGCGGAAUGCGUGGUGUAGCGGUGAAAUGCAUAGAUAUCACGCAGAACUCCGAUUGCGAAGGCAGCAUACCGGCGCCCGACUGACGCUGAGGCACGAAAGCGUGGGGAUCGAACAGGAUUAGAUACCCCCGUACC
rnacentral:rRNA from 1 species